rnacentral:rRNA from 1 species
AUUAAACGCUGGCGGCAUGCCUUACACAUGCAAGUCGAACGGCAGCACGGGGGCAACCCUGGUGGCGAGUGGCGGACGGGUGAGUAAAGCAUCGGAACGUAUCCUGGAGUGGGGGAUAACGUAGCGAAAGUUACGCUAAUACCGCAUAUUCUGUGAGCAGGAAAGCAGGGGAUCGCAAGACCUUGCGCUCUGGGAGCGGCCGAUGUCGGAUUAGCUAGUUGGUGGGGUAAAGGCCUACCAAGGCGACGAUCCGUAGCGGGUCUGAGAGGAUGAUCCGCCACACUGGGACUGAGACACGGCCCAGACUCCUACGGGAGGCAGCAGUGGGGAAUUUUGGACAAUGGGCGCAAGCCUGAUCCAGCCAUGCCGCGUGAGUGAAGAAGGCCU